CGACGACAGCGAAGACGGCGGCGACGGCGGAGAUGACUGGACUAUGCAGAGGGAGAUGGCGACGGCGACGGGGACAGCGCGAUACCUACUCGGUGACGACGCAACGAGGGCAAAGACGACGACGGCGAGACCCACGCGAAUUCCUUCCCCUCCUGCGUCUCUCUCUCUCCGUGCCUAUCUCUCUCUCUCUACUCUCCCUCCGGCGAGGCUCAGAUCUAAGGCCGCGAGCCCUCGGCCCCCCUGAAGUCUCUCAGUGGGGUGUCCAAGGGCUGCGACUCGAUCUAGCUCCCUCUGCGGCCGCGAGCCUUCGGAUCUGGGUUUGCUCGGCCUCGGCUCCC
rnacentral:lncRNA from 1 species